rnacentral:rRNA from 1 species
GAGCGCCCCGCAAGGGGAGCGGCAGACGGGAGAGUAACACGUGGGAACGUACCCUUCAGUUCGGAACAACCCAGGGAAACUUGGGCUAAUACCGGAUACGUCCGUAAGGAGAAAGAUUUAUCGCUGAAGGAUCGGCCCGCGUCUGAUUAGCUAGUUGGUAGGGUAACGGCCUACCAAGGCGACGAUCCGUAGCUGGUCUGAGAGGACGACCAGCCACACUGGGACUGAGACACGGCCCAGACUCCUACGGGAGGCAGCAGUGGGGAAUAUUGGACAAUGGGGGAAACCCUGAUCCAGCGACGCCGCGUGUGUGAAGAAGGCCUGCGGGUUGUAAAGCACUUUUAGUGGGGAUGAAAAGUGCAGAGUUAACACCUCUGCAUCUUGACCUAACCCACAGAAAAAGCACCGGCUAACUCUGUGCCAGCAGCCGCGGUAAUACAGAGGGUGCGAGCGUUAAUCGGAAUUACUGGGCGUAAAGCGUGCGUAGACGGUAAUGUAAGUCGGGUGUGAAAGCCCCGGGCUCAACCUGGGAAUUGCAUUCGAGACUGCAUUGCUUGGGUGCGGAAGAGGGAAGCGGAAUUUCCGGUGUAGCGGUGAAAUGCGUAGAUAUCGGAAGGAACACCAGUGGCGAAAGCGGCUUCCUGGUCCGACACCGACGUUCAGGCACGAAAGCGUGGGGA